rnacentral:rRNA from 1 species
AGAGUUUGAUCCUGGCUCAGGACGAACGCUGGCGGCGUGCUUAACACAUGCAAGUCGAACGCUGAAGCCCUUCGGGUGGAUGAGUGGCGAACGGGUGAGUAACACGUGGGUAAUCUGCCCUGCACUCUGGGAUAAGCCUUGGAAACGGGGUCUAAUACCGGAUAGGACACAUCGCCGCAUGGUGUGUGUGUGGAAAGUUCCGGCGGUGCAGGUUGAGCCCGCGGCCUAUCAGCUUGUUGUGGGGUGAUGGCCUACCAAGGCGACGACGGGUAGCCGGCCUGAGAGGGUGACCGGCCACACUGGGACUGAGACACGGCCCAGACUCCUACGGGAGGCAGCAGUGGGGAAUCUUGCGCAAUGGGCGAAAGCCUGACGCAGCAACGCCGCGUGGGGAUGACGGCCUUCGGGUUGUAAACCUCUUUCGACCGGGACGAAGGAUUCGUUUGACGGUACCGGUAGAAGAAGCACCGGCUAACUACGUG